rnacentral:rRNA from 1 species
CGAACGCUGGCGGCGUGCUUAACACAUGCAAGUCGAACGGAAAGGCCCUGCUUUUGUGGGGUGCUCGAGUGGCGAACGGGUGAGUAACACGUGAGUAACCUGCCCUUGACUUUGGGAUAACUUCAGGAAACUGGGGCUAAUACCGGAUAGGAGCUCCUGCUGCAUGGUGGGGGUUGGAAAGUUUCGGCGGUUGGGGAUGGACUCGCGGCUUAUCAGCUUGUUGGUGGGGUAGUGGCUUACCAAGGCUUUGACGGGUAGCCGGCCUGAGAGGGUGACCGGCCACAUUGGGACUGAGAUACGGCCCAGACUCCUACGGGCGGCAGCAGUGGGGAAUAUUGCACAAUGGGCGGAAGCCUGAUGCAGCAACGCCGCGUGCGGGAUGACGGCCUUCGGGUUGUAAACCGCUUUCGCCUGUGACGAAGCGUGAGUGACGGUAAUGGGUAAAGAAGCACCGGCUAACUACGUG